GAGCCAUGAAGCAAGCACAAAGCGAACUAUUCUUUCGCCUUUUACUAAAGAAUACCGUGUGCAUACUUCUUUUAAGUGGCGUUCCUUUAUUUUUGAGAGGUGACCUUUUAAAAGGUCC
rfam:Cicer arietinum chromosome Ca1, whole genome shotgun sequence.